rnacentral:lncRNA from 1 species
UUUGGUUCUUUCUGUUGAAGGUGUUGACGGCAUAUUUUUUUUGCUUUUUGUCUUUCCUGGGGUUUAGAUAAUUUCAGACUUUGUAUAUUCCGAUCUUUCUGCUUUACAUGGCUGUGUAAUAAUCUCUACAUUCUCUUUCACUUCUAAAUAAAAUUUGGUGAGUAAUGGGGAAUCUCUCAUUAUUCUCCCUCCUUGUCCAAAAAAAAUUUAUCUGGACUCAAUCCAAUCUGGAUUUGACCUCGCCAAUCCAUUGCCACUCCAACCCACUUGUGUCACGGUUUAUAAAGUCCCAAUUCACCUUUCCAAAGAUAA